rnacentral:rRNA from 1 species
UAGGGAAUCUUCCACAAUGGACGCAAGUCUGAUGGAGCAACGCCGCGUGAGUGAAGAAGGUUUUCGGAUCGUAAAGCUCUGUUGUUGGUGAAGAAGGAUAGAGGCAGUAACUGGCCUUUAUUUGACGGUAAUCAACCAGAAAGUCACGGCUAACUACGUGCCAGCAGCCGCGGUAAUACGUAGGUGGCAAGCGUUGUCCGGAUUUAUUGGGCGUAAAGCGAGCGCAGGCGGAAGAAUAAGUCUGAUGUGAAAGCCCUCGGCUUAACCGAGGAAUUGCAUCGGAAACUGUUUUCUUGAGUGCAGAAGAGGAGAGUGGAACUCCAUGUGUAGCGGUGGAAUGCGUAGAUAUAUGGAAGAACACCAGUGGCGAAGGCGGCUCUCUGGUCUGCAACUGACGCUGAGGCUCGAAAGCAUGGGUAGCGAACAGAAUUAGAUACCCUGGUAGUCCAUGCCGUAAACGAUGAGUGCUAAGUGUUGGGAGGUUUUCCGCCUCUCAGUGCUGCAGCUAACGCAUUAAGCACUCCGCCUGGGGGAGUACGACCGCAAGGUUGAA